UACGGGGGGGGCAAGCGUUGUUCGGAAUUACUGGGCGUAAAGGGCUCGUAGGCGGCCAACUAAGUCGGAUGUGAAAUCCCCAGGCUUAACCUGGGAACUGCAUCCGAUACUGGAUGGCUUGAAUCCGGGAGAGGGAUGCAGAAUUCCAGGUGUAGCGGUGAAAUGCGCAGAUAUCGGGAAGAACACCCGUGGCGAAGGCGGCUCUCUGGAACGCAACUGACGCUGAGACGCGAAAGCGUGGGGAGCAAACAGG
rnacentral:rRNA from 1 species